rnacentral:rRNA from 1 species
CGAAAGCCUGAUGCAGCGACGCCGCGUGAGGGAUGACGGCCUUCGGGUUGUAAACCUCUUCAGCAGGGAAGAAGCGCAAGUGACGGUACCUGCAGAAGAAGCACCGGUUAACUACGUGCCAGCAGCCGCGGUAAUACGUAGGGUGCAAGCGUUGUCCGGAAUUAUUGGGCGUAAAGAGCUCGUAGGCGGUUUGUCGCGUCGAUUGUGAAAGCCCGGGGCUUAACCCUGGGUCUGCAGUCGAUACGGGCAGGCUAGAGUUCGGUAGGGGAGACUGGAAUUCCUGGUGUAGCGGUGAAAUGCGCAGAUAUCAGGAGGAACACCGGUGGCGAAGGCGGGUCUCUGGGCCGAUACUGACGCUGAGGAGCGAAAGCGUGGGGAGCGAACAGGAUUAGAUACCCUGGUAGUCCACGCUGUAAACGGUGGGAACUAGGUGUGGGCAGCAUUCCACGUUGUCUGUGCCGCAGCUAACGCAUUAAGUUCCCCGCCUGGGGAGUACGGCCGCAAGGCUA